UUUGUUAAUGAUUUUGUGUAAUUGACAAUUAGAACUCAUGCACAAUCUGUUAAUUUGCUAAUUAUUCUUGACACAAUUCCAUUGCUGUACAUUUAUAUGAUCCAGCAAAUCUUCUAAGUUAAUGCUGAAUACUUUAUGAAUUGUUGCCUUUUCUAGUCACAUACUCUAUGAAAAAGAUUACUUUAGUUUCUCCUUGGUGCUGUAAAUUGUUUUGAUGCCAAGAUACUUUUUCAGCCAAGUGUUUUACAUAUAAGAUGUGAUUUGCAAUCCUAAUGGAACAUUGGCUAUGAAGGAUCUAGGAUGAACAUCAUCAAAACUGAAACAAUUUCCGCAUGGUUCACAGCCAACAAAGGACAAGAGCAUUUGAAUGCUUGUUAGGGCUUUUUGGAUUUUGGAGACAACAUAUACCACAUUUGAGUGAGCUACCCCUGAUCUUAAUUUACUGAGUACACAUCAAGCUACCAGUUUUGAGUGGGGACCAAAGCAGCGGGAGGCUCUACAGCACAUCUGGGGUGCCAUACCAGCUGCUCUUCGGCUUGCACCUUUUAAGACUCGACUCAGCAGAUCUGAUGAUAAAGUCUGUGUGGCAAAUGGAGAUGCUGUAUAGAUCCUCUGGCAAGAAAAAAUAGCAGCAUUACAGCGAGACUUAGAAUUUUGAAGGAAAUUCAGUCCUUCUUCUGCAAAUAACCAAUGUCCUUUUGAGAAACAUCUCCUGGACACCUGAUGUUCAGUUGAUUAAAUUGUACCCCACCCAUCAUAGAGGGGGAAGAGAUUUGCCUGCACUGGAAUAGACAUCUCCCCUGAAUACGGAUUUGCCUUUCUAUCCAUGAUACUUUUGCUAUAAUGACAACAUAUGGACUUACAAAAUGCUGUAUUCUCUGUUGGUAUUCUACCACAACGUCUUUCAGAUCAAGAAACUCGUUUCACAGCAAGAGUGUGGAAUGAGCUCCUGCACGUGGAAUUCACUCUUCUUACUACAAACUCCUUCACAUAGAAGCAGGCAGCCUGAUAGGACAGUGGAAUGGCCUAUUGAAACCUUUAUGAUGCCAGUUGAGAGUACAUACCCUCCAAAGAUGGGGCUCUAUUUUACAGGAUGCAUAUAUGCUUUGAAUCAGUGACCAACAUAUGCAUCCGUCUCUUCCAUGGCCAGAAUUCAUGAGAUCAGUGAUCAAGGACCACGGCUGAUGCAGUGACUCAAUAGCUGCAACACACACUCUGCUUGACUAGCCGCAGUGGUCUUGGGUUCAGGAGGAUGUUCAAACUCACAAGAAUGUUCAAGUUUACUUAGCAUUCACUUAGAAAGUAUACAAAACAGGUAACAGAACAGCAUACUUGGCAAUAGCGUGGUGGAGAUUUUGUGAGUUUGAGGCUUCCUUUCCAGUCACACCGAACCUGAGAUGUGCAUGGUCAUGAGAAACAAGUCUGGAUGUGAAGGGAAUACCUAAGUUCAGAGAAGCCUUAAUGCUUAUUGAUUGCAGGAGAAUCUGAUGUAGUUAAAGGGCCAUGGCUGGGUCUUCUGGAAGCUCAGGCUAGAGGGAUAUUUUUGUGUGAAUACUAUGGCCCACUUAAACUAUGCCAACAUCUCACUCAUAAAUAUGGUCUCUUUUGUUACUGCCUUAUAACCAGAAUGCCCAGAAUCAAAGCUAGAAUGUCGUAUUUGGAAAAUAUUGCUAUUUCAACCUCUUACAUAGCACAUGUUCCUGUGAAGCUAAUUUUGUUCAAUUCUGCAUACUGACUUUCUGCUCAUUGUAGUCACCCCUUCUCAUGUCUUUUGUCAAAGGUAUUGUUACUUGGCUAAAAUCAUCCUGGAUGACUUAAAUAUUCAACUGGGUGUCCCAUCCAUCCAGUGUCCUCUUGCCUGUGACUUUCUCAUUUCCAGUGACCUUUCUCUUCUCUACUUCAGCUGUUCAUUGCCACAGUCAAACUUUCAAUUGUUACCAUAAUGGAUUUCACUUCUAAAUCUCUCAUUCAGGCAUCUCACUCAGGGAUCACAACUGCCUUCCUUUUAAGCUUAGAUGUUCAACUCUUCCCACUUACAUCUAACCUGGAACACCAG
rnacentral:lncRNA from 1 species